rnacentral:tRNA from 1 species
GUUCUAUUAGUAUAUAAGUAUAUUUAACUUCCAAUUAAAAGGAUUAAUUUAAUUAAAUAGAAUA